UGAAGUAUGUUUGUUUUUUUCCUGCAUGGUUUGGAUAGUCUAUAGCCUAUUGAAAAAAAGAUGAAGUUUGAGCCUGUUUAAUUACUAAACAAUUUUUGGUGCCACUUGGUUUUGUUUUCACUUCAUCUAUAUUCAGUUGUAACUUGAGUAGCAAAA